GAUGAACGCUGGCGGCGUGCCUAAUACAUGCAAGUCGAGCGAACGGACGAGAAGCUUGCUUCUCUGAUGUUAGCGGCGGACGGGUGAGUAACACGUGGAUAACCUACCUCUAAGACUGGGAUAACUUCGGGAAACCGUAGCUAAUACCGGAUAAUAUUUUGAACCGCAUGGUUCAAAAGUGAAUGACGGUCUUGCCGUCUCUAAUAGAUGGAUCCGCGCUGCAUUAGCUAGUUGGUAAGGUAACGGCCUACCAAGGCAACGAUGCAUAGCCGACCUGAGAGGGUGAUCGGCCACACUGGAACUGAGACACGGUCCAGACUCCUACGGGAGGCAGCAGUAGGGAAUCUUCCGCAAUGGGCGAAAGCCUGACGGAGCAACGCCGCGUGAGUGAUGAAGGUCUUCGGAUCGUAAAACUCUUUUAUUAGGGAAGAACAUAUGUGUAAGUAACUGUGCACAUCUUGACGGUACCUAAUCAGAAAGCCACGGCUAACUACGUG
rnacentral:rRNA from 1 species